rnacentral:rRNA from 1 species
GGUGAGGAACACGUGAGGAAUCUGCCUUCAACACUGGGAUAACUCCGGGAAACCGGGGCUAAUACCGGAUAUGAGCCUUGAUCGCAUGAUCGGGGCUGGAAAGUUUUUCGGUUGAAGAUGACUUCGCGGCCUAUCAGCUUGUUGGUGAGGUAAUGGCUCACCAAGGCUUCGACGGGUAGCUGGUCUGAGAGGAUGUCCAGCCACACUGGGACUGAGACACGGCCCAGACUCC